rnacentral:lncRNA from 10 species
AGAACUCACAAAGGUUUUUAGGUACAAAGACCUUCCUCAUGGCUUUAUCUGAGUGGUGGGGAAGUGAGGGCAACUUAGGUAUUCAUUAUCACAGAUGGAGAAGAACCAUACGAUGGAUGCUCACUCUGGGAAGAUUGGUUAGUGGCUCACCAAGUCUAUCUCCUUUUCUUCCAAGACACACAAAUAGACUACAUUUUCCAGUCUUCAUUGCAGUUAGGCACAACCAUUUGACUGAGGUCUAGUCAAAGAAUAUGAAUGGAAAUGAUGUUGCUAUUCCAGGCCCAUGAAAACCUCUCACACAAGAUAUUUAUGCCUUUCACCUUCUGCCAAUGCAAUGCAGGUGGAUGCGACCAUCUUGGAAGCCAUGUUAAAGAAGGCAGAGCCACAAGAUAGAUGCAGCCGGGUUCUCUAAAUCACCACUGGGGAGAAACCCACACACCAAUGAGGAAUACCCAUUUUUUGGAUUUUAAGAGCAAGAAAUAAACUUCAAUUGUGUUCAGCA